AAUGGGCUGCUGAUCUCUAAGAGUCUCUCCUGUGGAGACAACUGGUACCCUUGGAGCCUCAUUCACCCUUGCCUUUGUUUUCAUUUCUCCUCUCCAGAGUGCAGUGGGGGCCCUCCCAGCUACAGCUGCGCUUCUGGAAGGAGCUUAUUGAUAGGCACAGAGUAUGGGUGAGUCUUCAUCCCAGGCCUCAGCCAAACUCUGGGAAACACUCUGCAUUCCCUGGCAGACAGCUGCAACCCCAAGCAGCUCCAUAGGAAAACUGCAGAAUGGCAGAAAAUGCAAGGGAAGCCAAUAUGGAAAGGGCUUUUUCCACAUGCUGACAGUUUUCUUCACAAGUAUCACAAUGAAGCUAUUUGAGAAUCAGCUUGCAAAGCACCUGGCUCUAAAUAGCCUUCUCUCCCUAGUCCUUAAGUAGAGACAAAGCAGCUCCUUUUAUCCUCUAGAAGUGCCCUUUCCUAGGGCCUGACCCACAAAUGGGUGCUCAAAACCUAGUUGAAUGAAUGAAUGAACAGAUGAAUGAAGAUGGCUACACACACUUCUUAUUUCCCUUGAUUGCCUUAGACCAGGACACGGCAGAUUUUUCGCAAAGGGCUGGAAGGUAAAUAUUGUUGUCUUUUCAGGUCACAGAGUCUCUGUCACAGCUACUCAGCUCUGCUGUUGUAGCUCACAGAC
rnacentral:lncRNA from 10 species